GGAGAGAUGCUAGAGUGGUUGAAUAGGGCACCCUGCUAAGGUGUUAUCCUUUCACGAGGAUCGAGGGUUCGAAUCCCUCUCUCUCCGCCA
rnacentral:tRNA from 1 species